UACGGAGGGGACUAGCGUUGUUCGGAAUUACUGGGCGUAAAGCGCACGUAGGCGGAUUUGUAAGUCAGGGGUGAAAUCCCGGGGCUCAACCUCGGAACUGCCUUUGAUACUGCAAAUCUCGAGUCCGGAAGAGGUGAGUGGAAUUCCUAGUGUAGAGGUGAAAUUCGUAGAUAUUAGGAGGAACACCGAUGGCGAAGGCAGCUCGCUGGGACGGUACUGACGCUGAGGCGCGAAAGCGUGGGGAGCAAACAGG
rnacentral:rRNA from 1 species